UCUGUGCGGGGACCGGGCACAGCUUUGCUCUGAAGGAAUCAAGUGAGAUGGAGCUGUGCCUUUGGGAAAAAGAGGGGGAGAAAAGAACAAUCCAGUCUUUGAAGAGAUUCUGAAAAUAACUGAUUUUUUUUCUUUCUUCCUUUUCUCUUUGCCUCCUUGUUCUCUCAGACGUGUGGGAUGGGGAGGUCCCAUGGGCUGGGGGCAGUCUUUGCUUUGAGAAAGAGGAGUUGAUGGCAAGAGCAGGAGCACAGGGAGGGGAGAUCCUACUGCAGGCCCCCAGGGGAUUCAUUCAGCCCUUCUCUGUUUGCCCUUAAAAUGGGCACAACAGGAUGAUUUGGGUUUCCUGGUGUUUUGCAAGGAUACAUUUUUUACAUGUGAUGUUUUCAGUGACCUCAGUAAUACUUGUUGAUGCAGAGAGCUGGCACUUGCUGCAGUCAACAGGAUGGGUAGCAUCUCUGGAUGCUGGAUCAGGUCCUGGAUGUGGUCUUGGGGGGUGGCUGGUGUCCCUCUGAGCCCGCAGACCUGCCUGGAGACCGGUGGCUCUUCUGAUAUGUCACAUCUCCCCUCCAAGGCUUGAGCUAUUCAGCAGAUACAUCUAACAGGAAUGCAAAGGGGACUGGGAAAGCAGCUUCCCCGCAGGACAGAGGGGUCUGGGCUGGGACCAGCAGCCAGGCUGCACAGACCUGGGGGCGAGGAGGAGGCAGGCGAAAGCAGACCCUACAUCCAGCCCACUCCUCCUCCAGGAGCAACUGGGAAGUUUCAAGCUCCUGCCUGGGAGGUGCAGGGCUGGGUGCCCCUUGCCCCACCAGACCCUGGCUUAUCUGCAGCAAGGACUGGGGGUCAUUUUAAGCCCUUGUUGAUAUGACUUACCUGUGAAGCUCAGGGAGGAAAGCAGAGCCAAGCCAGUCUGGAAACAAGAUGCAGCAAGUCUCGCAGCAGAGUCCUGAAAAUCCUCUGAUCCAUAUUGGGGUGAGAACUCGGGGGGGAUGACAGCAGAGCAGAGCUGCUUCAGCUCUUCUGGGUCAGGAGCAGCAAGACACCUUUGUGGGUGCUGAGAUGCUCUGCAGGAACAAAGGCUGACCUGAGCUGCGAGGAGAGGACAUGUGAAGAUAGGAAUGUGGGGGAUUCCGUGCUAUUGCUUGAAAAAGCCCAGAGGAGGCAGAGCUGAAAUCUCAUUUGAAGCUCUGCUUCAUGCUCUUUUUUUCCUGAUUUUAAUUGUUAUUUAUCUGAAGCCUCAAAUUCUGCCUUUAUUUCAUAUUUGUGCCUCUUUGUGAGGCCCUAAGAGUACAAGUCUCUGGGCCUUGGAGAGGCAGAGUCAGCGUGGUGGUGGGGCAAAGGAUGUACCAGCCUGGGCAUGGGUAAAGGGACCUCUUUAUCCCUCAGCCUUGGAUGGGGAGCUCUCACAGCUCGGCAUAGGGCAACAGUGAGUGGGACAUGUUUGUGUGUGGUGGUGCCAGGGUUCUGUGUGCCCUCUCUUAAAGUUAUUAAUAAAAAUCAUAAAUGUAUCAAGAUCAAUCCCUGUGACAGCUUGGCUCAAUACUUCAGUGCUCUCUUCUCACCCGUCUCUUUGAAGGGAUUAUUUUAAUAUGCACAUUGCCCCUCAGACAUAUGUAAUGAGAGGUCAGACCGGAUCCUGCAUGCUUUUUGUCUGCAAAUAACGUGCCUGCAGCCGUGCUUCUUCCUUUCUCCCUCCUUGCAGGUCUGGCAGAAGAUUCCUCUGUAGCUUCUCAGCUCCCGGGCACCCAUGGUGCAUCCCAACCUCAUGCUGUGUCAGCUGCUGUGACUGGAGAAAAGCCAUGCACUGAGGGCAACAGCCCUGUGCUGGGGCUGUGGGGCCAGAGAAGACCCCAGGCCACCUCCCCCCAUAGACAUCCUCUUCAGCCAUACCCACUCAUCGUGGAGGGGCUGGAGCAGCCCAGCUGCAGGAAAGAGCCGUGCCAUCAGCAUUUUGUGGAAAUGGUGAUGUCACACCUGUACAAUGAUUUGGGAAAAAGGUGGUAGCUCACGGAGAGCUGAUGACAGGUACUCUGUGGCAUGACAGAGAAGCGUGACCCAGCCUCGGCACACGUGAUGCAGCAAGCAUGGGUGCACGGGAGUCAUGGGGACCUGAGAUCAAAGCCACAGCUGCACCAAGCUUUCCCGGCUAGAUGUGGUUUUCAAUAAAGGAACUGGGCAAUUAUUGCUCUACAGCUCCACAGACUAUAUGCAAAUAAUUAUUAAAUUAUUAUUAAAUUAUUAUUAAAUGAU